rnacentral:rRNA from 1 species
AUUGAACGCUGGCGGCAGGCUUAACACAUGCAAGUCGAGCGGGGUGAUGGUGCUUGCACUAUCACUUAGCGGCGGACGGGUGAGUAAUGCUUAGUAAUCUGCCUCUUAGUGGGGGACUACAUGCCGAAAGGGAUGCUAAUACCGCAUACGGCCUACGUGAGCAAGCAGGGGAUCACUUGUGACCUUGCGCUAAUAGAUGAGACUAAGUCGGAUUAGCGAGUUGGUGGGGUAAAGGCCUAACAAGGCGACGAUCUGUAGCGGGUAUGAGAGGAUGAUCCGCCACACUGGGACUGAGACACGGCCCAGACUCCUACGGGAGGCAGCAGUGGGGAAUAUUGGACAAUGGGGGGAACCCUGAUCCAGCCAUGCCGCGUGUGUGAAGAAGGCCUUAUGGUUGUAAAGCACUUUAAGCGAGGAGGAGGCUCUUUUGGUUAAUACCCAAGAUGAGUGGACGUUACUCGCAGAAUCAGCGCCGGCUAACUCUGUGCCAGCCGCCGCGGUAA